AUUGAACGCUGGCGGCAGGCCUAACACAUGCAAGUCGAGCGGUAGCACAGGGAGCUUGCUCCUGGGUGACGAGCGGCGGACGGGUGAGUAAUGUCUGGGAAACUGCCUGAUGGAGGGGGCUCCCUCCUGGAAACGGUCGCUCCUACCGCAUCACGUCGCAAGACCAAAGAGGGGGACCUUCGGGCCUCUUGCCAUCAGAUGUGCCCAGAUGGGAUUAGCUAGUAGGUGGGGUAACGGCUCACCUAGGCGACGAUCCCUAGCUGGUCUGAGAGGAUGACCA
rnacentral:rRNA from 1 species